rnacentral:rRNA from 1 species
UACGUAGGGUGCAAGCGUUGUCCGGAAUUAUUGGGCGUAAAGAGCUCGUAGGCGGUUUGUCGCGUCUGCUGUGAAAACUCAGGGCUUAACCCUGAGCCUGCAGUGGGUACGGGCAGACUAGAGUGUGGUAGGGGAGAUCGGAAUUCCUGGUGUAGCGGUGAAAUGCGUAGAUAUCAGGAGGAACACCGGUGGUGUAGACGGCUCACUGGACCAUAACUGACGCUGAGACACGAAAGCGUGGGUAGCAAACAGG